rnacentral:rRNA from 1 species
AGAGUUUGAUCAUGGCUCAGAUUGAACGCUGGCGGCAGGCCUAACACAUGCAAGUCGAGCGGUAGCACGGAGAGCUUGCUCUCGGGUGACGAGCGGCGGACGGGUGAGUAAUGUCUGGGAAACUGCCUGAUGGAGGGGGAUAACUACUGGAAACGGUAGCUAAUACCGCAUAACGUCGCAAGACCAAAGUGGGGGACCUUCGGGCCUCAUGCCAUCAGAUGUGCCCAGAUGGGAUUAGCUAGUAGGUGGGGUAAUGGCUCACCUAGGCGACGAUCCCUAGCUGGUCUGAGAGGAUGACCAGCCACACUGGAACUGAGACACGGUCCAGACUCCUACGGGAGGCAGCAGUGGGGAAUAUUGCACAAUGGGCGCAAGCCUGAUGCAGCCAUGCCGCGUGUGUGAAGAAGGCCUUCGGGUUGUAAAGCACUUUCAGCGGGGAGGAAGGCGNNNNNNNNNNNCGAUUGACGUUACCCGCAGAAGAAGCACCGGCUAACUCCGUGCCAGCAGCCGCGGUAAUACGGAGGGUGCAAGCGUUAAUCGGAAUUACUGGGCGUAAAGCGCACGCAGGCGGUCUGUCAAGUCGGAUGUGAAAUCCCCGGGCUCAACCUGGGAACUGCAUUCGAAACUGGCAGGCUAGAGUCUUGUAGAGGGGGGUAGAAUUCCAGGUGUAGCGGUGAAAUGCGUAGAGAUCUGGAGGAAUACCGGUGGCGAAGGCGGCCCCCUGGACAAAGACUGACGCUCAGGUGCGAAAGCGUGGGGAGCAAACAGGAUUAGAUACCCUGGUAGUCCACGCCGUAAACGAUGUCGAUUUGGAGGUUGUGCCCUUGAGGCGUGGCUUCCGGAGCUAACGCGUUAAAUCGACCGCCUGGGGAGUACGGCCGCAAGGUUAAAACUCAAAUGAAUUGACGGGGGCCCGCACAAGCGGUGGAGCAUGUGGUUUAAUUCGAUGCAACGCGAAGAACCUUACCUGGUCUUGACAUCCACAGAACUUUCCAGAGAUGGAUUGGUGCCUUCGGGAACUGUGAGACAGGUGCUGCAUGGCUGUCGUCAGCUCGUGUUGUGAAAUGUUGGGUUAAGUCCCGCAACGAGCGCAACCCUUAUCCUUUGUUGCCAGCGGUUAGGCCGGGAACUCAAAGGAGACUGCCAGUGAUAAACUGGAGGAAGGUGGGGAUGACGUCAAGUCAUCAUGGCCCUUACGACCAGGGCUACACACGUGCUACAAUGGCAUAUACAAAGAGAAGCGACCUCGCGAGAGCAAGCGGACCUCAUAAAGUAUGUCGUAGUCCGGAUUGGAGUCUGCAACUCGACUCCAUGAAGUCGGAAUCGCUAGUAAUCGUAGAUCAGAAUGCUACGGUGAAUACGUUCCCGGGCCUUGUACACACCGCCCGUCACACCAUGGGAGUGGGUUGCAAAAGAAGUAGGUAGCUUAACCUUCGGGAGGGCGCUUACCACUUUGUGAUUCAUGACUGGGGUGAAGUCGUAACAAGGUAACCGUAGGGGAACCUGCGGUUGGAUCACCU